GACAAUUUAACAAAAUAUAUUUUAACAAUUUCAAAUAUAUAUGUGUACAUUACAGCUACAAACAAUAUAUAUAGUAAAACGUCCUACCAUUUUUGUCCAUCUUUCAUAUUUAGAUUAACUUCUAACAUUAUCAAUAUUAAAGCGAUUUUGCUCUACAAAGCGCUCCAGUACUUUCAAAAAUAUUUGUUCCAGCACUUUCAAGACUUUCAAAAAAUAUAAGACGAAACAAAAUCCGAACAAAGGCCUGUGAUAUCACAAAAUAAUCAUUCCUUUCGGGUUGUAUUUCAUCUUGUGAAAACGAAUAUAUUGUGUGAAAGACGUCAGAAUAUCAGAUCUAGAGGUGCGAGACGAAUCAAAAAGCUGAACGCACACAGCCACAGGACACUAAAGUUUGGUUGAACGUUGUUGAUAGCUACAUCUUUGAAGAUGGCAACGAUUAUUUUACAAAAAUGCUGUUAACAAUUUGUUUUACAAAAUAUAUUAAAGUUUGCGCAGCUCUUGCAAAUUCUAACAUCUCUCACACUUUAUUGUAUAUCAGUUAUUAUUUAAGAGAAAAGGUCAAUAAAAUGGCAGAAUGUUAAACAAUAUAUUACUAGGCAAUGUUUCUAAAAUUUAAACCUAUGACUAUGUCUAGGAAGAACAAGGUUCUGUUCAUAAUGUUUUUAGUUAUCUACCUUUAACCGGCAACGUUCUUGAACUACCUUGUGGACUGUAACAAUUCUUUUCGUAGAUUUUUUGGAGAAUCUUAAUUUUAGUUCGUCUGAUAUUGGGUUUCCGUUGACAAAUUUCUACUUUUCAUGUUUACAAACAGCACCACAAUUGAACCAUAUUCGUGUGCACGUAGUCAUAGUCAUACAUAUGAAUGAUUGUUUUUAUCUCAGCCAAUCAUCCUAUAUAUUUUUAAAAGCUCUCAUAACCACAAGAGUUAACUAUACGGAUUCCUAGACGGUUUUGUUACUAUAGGAUGUUUUCUUCCAAACUUUCAAAGCACCUGAUAUCGUAACGUUUGGAAUGCGGGAACAUAAGUUUCAUUUUCAGUAUUUCAAACCAGUACAGAUAUACUAUAGUUAGUGCCAUUAAUCACAACUGUUACACCGUUAUAAACCAUUAACUCUUUCCAUAAAGUGAAUAUUUGCAUUUGUCUUGUUAAACUUAUAAAUCAUGAACCAAUACUUAAUGAUUUUUGUAGUAGGUGUUUUUAUAUUUCUCCAACGAAUACAACAGUUAUUCACAUUUAGCCUUUCAACCCUGGAUUAAUCCUUGACUGGAGCGUACAGAUUUUUCUAUCACAUUACCCGUCUUUUGGGUUUUUUGAUAACAGACGAUUUUCCAGUUCUUAGUAAAAGAGAAUGGUGUUUAUCGUACAUUGGCCAUUAAUCCAUUUUCUUCAUUUCUUUCUUCACUCAGAGUACAUACGAGUGAAGAAUACGUAUUAGUCUGUCUUCCAGGUGCAAAAGGUUGGCAUUUUAUUCAUAAUAUUGCUUUCAUCACUGUCUCACUACGUCGCAAAAAGGUGGUUGAAUUUUAACGUCAUUUUCCACAAAUACAAGACAAGGUGCUGAGCAUUCAAGAUUUACAAACGUUUUGAUUUUGCCAUAUUGCUUGCUACAUACUUCUUCGUAUCAUCGAUGUUCAUCCACGUUGCAGAAUAUUGGUUAUAGUUCAAUUUUAUUUUUUACAAAUACACAACUCAAUACCGGUUUGUGUCACACACAUAAACAUACUUAUUCCUUUACACGUUCAAAUGUAUCCUGUUUCCAUCUUUUAAUUAAAGUUUUUACAAAAAAUAAGUAUACCUUUUCUUUUAAGGUCGCUCGAUACAGUUUUCAAAAAUUCAGGUGUUCAACACUUUGACAUGUUCAACUACGCAUUUUUAGGAUUUAUUCAGCAGAUAUCGGGGGUUUACAUAUUUUGAUAUCUGUACUUUCAAAUUAUAUUAGUUUUACUAACAGAUAGUUCGUCGCUAUGACGACAUACGUGUACGAAAUUCACUCCAAAAUCGUCUCGUAUAAUUGGAAAAGAAGCAUGGUGACCCCCAAUUUUUUUCGGGCAUUAUUUUACUUGGAUGAAAAGCUAACAAUUGGCAAAAUAUAAAAAGAUUCUGUAAUGCCAAUUUUUUGGAAAGUGCGAAAAUGUCGUGCUCUUCGGUAAAAUGUUUUUGGCAUUACAGAAUUUUUUAUUUUUUGUAUAAUGAAAGUUUUUAGCGGUGCGAUACAGCAUGCAAAAUUUGAACAUAAGUCACCAGAAAAAAUAGAGAGAUACAGCGGAUUGUUUUUCUAAAAUGGAAAAUUCUAAUGACGUCAGUAAUUGACAUAAAACACCAAAGAACACGCGCAAUAACGUGAGAUGGGGCGAGCUCAUUUUGGAAGUUCUUUCAUUUUGUUAAUCAGUUUUCGCGACCUGCGCCGUAAAAAUGGUCACCCGGUUUUCUUCGCGAUUCUUGAGCAGGGCUUUUGUGAUAACUAUAUCGAGCCACCUUAACAUAAUGUUAUUUUAUUAAAAAAAGACAAAUAUUUUUUAGUUGAAAACGUUCUUUCUAUAUUAUUAGCUUAUGCCAAGAUAGAGCGUUUUCAAAUAUCGCCUUUGAGAACAACAAAGAUAUUUUUGAGAAAAUAGUUUAUGAAAAUACCUUUGUGAUUUGUUGUUCUGAACGGAAAUAGUGAAAAGAACCGACUGAAACAACGUCAAAUCUGAUUAAUUUGAUAAAUAUUUUGAGCCACUUUUCGUACCAAAAUUUGCGUAACUUUCCCGAAAUUGUUUUUAAAUUGUUAUAAUAACGUCACUUAUUAUUUCCGGACUAUAAGGCAAAACGCCAGUAUAUCUAAGAAAUUUUUACCAUGCAGGACAUUUGCCUGUGUUCUUGCAAUUUCCUAGUACUGCACGCAUGAAUCAAAUAUAUAAGCAAUUUAACACCCAAUUUCAAACUCUUACAAAAUCAUUGGUUUUAUUUUUUCGAGAAAUUAGAUCCAGUCUUUCAGUCGCUAGCUUGAUCCGAAAAGAAAAUAAUGAAUGCAAACCAUUUGCAUUACAAACUUGCAUCAGCAGUGGUGUCAAGUAACGAAGUAAAUGUACAUCGUUACUGUACUUGAGUACUAUUUUUGAGAAGUGAGCAUGUAACAAAGUAAACUUUUUCUGGAGUACUUUUACUUGGAACGAAGUCAUUUUAAGAAGUAACGUUUUACUUCGUUAUUUUCAUUUUGUAGCGAAGUAUUUCGUUACUUUCUAACUUUUGUUUAAUUUUACGUGAUUUAUUUCAGAUUUAUUUUAAUAUCGGGAUGCGUGAUACGACCUCUACAUGCGUCUGGAAUCUCUCGUUUGUGACUUACAUAUAAGCAUUAUUUAUUUAAUGGAUUUCUUAUAUCUUCAACUGUCUGGAAAGUAGACCAUGCCGUGAAAUAUUGUAUAUUCGGUAAACGCAUAUAAUGCGUGUGCUGUUUUGUGUCUUUUGUAUGUCAAUCCAUUUGAGAAGUCCCCCUCCACCUCUACACGCUACAGACAAUAGUACUUUUACAAGUAUUUUUUAAGGAUAUAUACUUUGUACUUUUUACUUAAGUACGUUUUGCUUCCAGUACUUUUUACUCUUACGCAAGUCGUUUUAUUGUUAAUUACUUCUACUUUUACUCGAGUACAAAUUCAAAGUAAUUUAGGCACCACUGUGCAUCAGGGCUGUUGCAACGUUGUUUCCAUCAACCACGUUUUAACAUAGGCAUCCAUAUAUCAUCAACAAACAUACAUGAGACAUGAUGCACAAGUAUAUCGCUGGACAGCAGGAAAAAAAACACUUAAAAUAUUAUUAUUAGAACAACACUAAGAUAAAUUAGACGCAUAACUAUACUUCACAACCAUUAAGUAUGAAGAAAACACAUUGUAUUUGCUAAAGGGGCUGCAAAUUAUUUCAAUGUGUAAGCACUAAUUAACCACUAAUUGAUCUGGUUAAUUUAAGCCGCCUUUUAGGUUGUGGUUGCCACAUAUUGAAGUUAGAAACGAAUUUAAAAUUGGCAACAUAUCUAAUCACAUUUUCGUUGCUGCAAACGUUACUAAAAUUUUUAGCUUACAUUUCACUUCUGCCCAAUUUACAGCAUGUUACCGCUUUGUUACGCACUUAUUCAAUGACCAGUCAAAGGCUAGCAGAAAUUACUGCACCCCUUCCCCCACCCCCCGAAAAUCAUUGGCAAUAAUAAACAAGCCAUUAUUUGGGCUGAACAAGUGAAAUCCAUGUCAAUACUAUUAUUUGUUGUCACAUUUUUACCACAGGCCAGAUGUCGGCCAAAACUUUAGGUUCACAAAGCAUCAUCAUCUUCUUAUGACUAUUAAAGAGUUCACUAUAAGGCAAUUAUUGGAUUAAAUGUUUUAAAUAUAUAAAAUUGAAAGACAAAAACGAUUGCUAACUCACCUGAUCAACUUUCGACAUUAGUUAAACAAAGCUAAACUCUGUUUUCCCCACUGUGUUCUCAUGAAGAAACAGUUUGGGCCACAACAGUCCAACAAACCCAAGGCUAGGUCGACAUGUUAUCGCGCACUAGAUAUUACGUUUAUAGCAGGGCGAAGGGAGAGAGGGCGUAGAAACGGCCAUACAUCGAGCGGACCCAUCCGUGAUGCGGGCUUCGCGGGGGGUAAGACGUUCUAAUUGUAAACAAAUAUGGCUACGCGUAUAUGACCCAUCAGAAGAUAUGCUGAAACUAUUGCUUCAUAA